AGACCCGAAACCCGGUGAUCUAGCCAUGGGCAGGUUGAAGGUUGGGUAACACUAACUGGAGGACCGAACCGACUAAUGUUGAAAAAUUAGCGGAUGACCUGUGGCUGGGGGUGAAAGGCCAAUCAAACCGGGAGAUAGCUGGUUCUCCCCGAAAGCUAUUUAGGUAGCGCCUCGUGAAUUCAUCUCCGGGGGUAGAGCACUGUUUCGGCUAGGGGGCCAUCCCGGCUUACCAACCCGAUGCAAACUGCGAAUACCGGAGAAUGUUAUCACGGGAGACACACGGCGGGUGCUAACGUCCGUCGUGAAGAGGGAAACAACCCAGACCGCCAGCUAAGGUCCCAAAGUCAUGGUUAAGUGGGAAACGAUGUGGGAAGGCCCAGACAGCCAGGAUGUUGGCUUAGAAGCAGCCAUCAUUUAAAGAAAGCGUAAUAGCUCACUGGUCGAGUCGGCCUGCGCGGAAGAUGUAACGGGGCUAAACCAUGCACCGAAGCUGCGGCAGCGAACGUAUCACCCAAGACAACUUUACGGAGUUGACGAUUGACGGAGCGAAGCGACGUCAAAGCGUUCAUUAAAGUCGAGUUGGCUUAGGGAUACGUUCGUUGGGUAGGGGAGCGUUCUGUAAGCCUGUGAAGGUGUGUCGUGAGGCAUGCUGGAGGUAUCAGAAGUGCGAAUGCUGACAUAAGUAACGAUAAAGCGGGUGAAAAGCCCGCUCGCCGGAAGACCAAGGGUUCCUGUCCAACGUUAAUCGGGGCAGGGUGAGUCGACCCCUAAGGCGAGGCCGAAAGGCGUAGUCGAUGGGAAACGGGUUAAUAUUCCCGUACUUGGUGUUACUGCGAAGGGGGGACGGAGAAGGCUAUGUUGGCCGGGCGACGGUUGUCCCGGUUUAAGCGUGUAGGUGUGUGUUCCAGGUAAAUCCGGUUCACUUUAACACUGAGGCGUGACGACGAGGCACUACGGUGCUGAAGCAACAAAUGCCCUGCUUCCAGGAAAAGCCUCUAAGCAUCAGGUAACACGAAAUCGUACCCCAAACCGACACAGGUGGUCAGGUAGAGAAUACCAAGGCGCUUGAGAGAACUCGGGUGAAGGAACUAGGCAAAAUGGUGCCGUAACUUCGGGAGAAGGCACGCUGACACGUAGGUGAAGUGAUUUACUCAUGGAGCUGAAGUCAGUCGAAGAUACCAGCUGGCUGCAACUGUUUAUUAAAAACACAGCACUGUGCAAACACGAAAGUGGACGUAUACGGUGUGACGCCUGCCCGGUGCCGGAAGGUUAAUUGAUGGGGUCAGCGUAAGCGAAGCUCCUGAUCGAAGCCCCGGUAAACGGCGGCCGUAACUAUAACGGUCCUAAGGUAGCGAAAUUCCUUGUCGGGUAAGUUCCGACCUGCACGAAUGGCGUAAUGAUGGCCAGGCUGUCUCCACCCGAGACUCAGUGAAAUUGAACUCGCUGUGAAGAUGCAGUGUACCCGCGGCAAGACGGAAAGACCCCGUGAACCUUUACUAUAGCUUGACACUGAACAUUGAGCCUUGAUGUGUAGGAUAGGUGGGAGGCUUUGAAGUGUGGACGCCAGUCUGCAUGGAGCCGACCUUGAAAUACCACCCUUUAAUGUUUGAUGUUCUAACGUGGACCCGUAAUCCGGGUUGCGGACAGUGUCUGGUGGGUAGUUUGACUGGGGCGGUCUCCUCCUAAAGAGUAACGGAGGAGCACGAAGGUUGGCUAAUCCUGGUCGGACAUCAGGAGGUUAGUGCAAUGGCAUAAGCCAGCUUGACUGCGAGCGUGACGGCGCGAGCAGGUGCGAAAGCAGGUCAUAGUGAUCCGGUGGUUCUGAAUGGAAGGGCCAUCGCUCAACGGAUAAAAGGUACUCCGGGGAUAACAGGCUGAUACCGCCCAAGAGUUCAUAUCGACGGCGGUGUUUGGCACCUCGAUGUCGGCUCAUCACAUCCUGGGGCUGAAGUAGGUCCCAAGGGUAUGGCUGUUCGCCAUUUAAAGUGGUACGCGAGCUGGGUUUAGAACGUCGUGAGACAGUUCGGUCCCUAUCUGCCGUGGGCGCUGGAGAACUGAGGGGGGCUGCUCCUAGUACGAGAGGACCGGAGUGGACGCAUCACUGGUGUUCGGGUUGUCAUGCCAAUGGCACUGCCCGGUAGCUAAAUGCGGAAGAGAUAAGUGCUGAAAGCAUCUAAGCACGAAACUUGCCCCGAGAUGAGUUCUCCCUGAGACUUAGAGUCUCCUGAAGGAACGUUGAAAACGACGACGUUGAUAGGCCGGGUGUGUAAGCGCAGCGAUGCGUUGAGCUAACCGGUACUAAUGAACCGUGAGGCUUAACCUUACAACGCCGAAG
rnacentral:rRNA from 1 species